AUGGGGGAAAGGGUAAAGCAAAAGAGGGAGAAGAGGGACAGGGGCAAGAAAGGAAAAGUGAAAAAGAAAAGGAAGGGAAAGAGGUCGCCAUCACUGCCUCUGCCUGAUGAGGUCUGUCUCUUUUGCCUGCUCAGCUCAUCCCCUCUCCCAGCUGAGCUGAGGGCUCAAACAGCAGUAGAGAACACAAUAGAUACAAGAAUACAACACAAGAGUCUUCCAUUCCACUCCUCAUCUUGUCUUUCUCCCACAUCACAACAUCACAAGUUUCUUUCUUCUCUUCUCUUCUCUUCAGACAAGAACAUCAGCCCGUCUUCUUAA
rnacentral:rRNA from 1 species